UCCUAACAGUGCCUGGUGAUGAUAAAUUCUU
rnacentral:piRNA from 1 species